UGGGGAAUCUUGGACAAUGGGGGCAACCCUGAUCCAGCGAUGCCGCGUGAGUGAAGAAGGCCUUCGGGUCGUAAAGCUCUUUAGGUUGGGAAGAAGUGUGGAUGUUGAUAAGGCAUUCAUAUUGACGGUACCGACAGAAUAAGCACCGGCAAACUCUGUGCCAGCAGCCGCGGUAAUACAGAGGGUGCGAGCGUUAAUCGGAGUGACUGGGCGUAAAGGGCGCGUAGGCGGAUAGGAGAGUGUGAUGUGAAAGCCCUGGGCUUAACCUAGGAAGCGCAUCGCAAACGACCUAACUGGAGUACAAGAGAGGGUGGCGGAAUUUCCGGUGUAGCGGUGAAAUGCGUAGAGAUCGGAAGGAACGUCAGUGGCGAAGGCGGCCACCUGGCUUGAUACUGACGCUGAGGCGCGAGAGCGUGGGGAGCGAACAGG
rnacentral:rRNA from 1 species